GAGGGUAUAGCUCAGUAGUAGAGCAUGUGCUUAGCAUGCACAAGGCCCUGGGUUCAAUUCCCAGUACCCCCA
rnacentral:tRNA from 1 species